rnacentral:rRNA from 1 species
AUUGAACGCUGGCGGCAGGCCUAACACAUGCAAGUCGAACGAGUGGCGGACGGGUGAGUAAUGUCUGGGAAACUGCCUGAUGGAGGGGGAUAACUACUGGAAACGGUAGCUAAUACCGCAUACCAUCGGAUUGGCCCAGAUGGGAUUCGCUAGUGGGUGGGGUAAAGGCUCACCUAGGCGACGAUCCCUAGCUGGUCUGAGAGGAUGCCCAGCUAAUCUGGAACGGGGACACGGUCCAGACUCCUACGGGAGGCAGCAGUGGGGAAUAUUUCACAAUGGUGGCAAGCCUGAUGCAGCCAUGCCGGGUGUAUGAAGAAGGCCUUCGGGUUGUAAAGUACUUUCAGCGUGGAGGCGUUUCCCUCAGAAGAAGCACCGGCUAACUCCGUGCCAGCAGCCGCGGUAAUAC